GAUAUUCCAAAUUUUUUUUUUAAUUUUUGCCUUAAUACUUGUUUUUGUUUAUUUUAUUUCGAAUGGUCAGCCAUCACGGCCCCUCUUUUUGUCCCCCAACUUGAGAUGUAUGAAGGCUUUUGGUCCCCCUGGGAGCAGGCUGAAGUGUGGAGGCAGCCAGGGCUUACCCGUACACUGACUUGAGACCAGGUCAAUAAAGUGCACACCUUAAAGAAAAAAACAAACAAGC